AUCUGUCAGCAGGAAGCUCACUUUCCCAGUUACAAGGCCAUUCUCAGCACACACUGACAACAUGCUGGGGACCCUCUGCACUCUCAUCACUGCUCUAACAUGUGUGAGAGGUGUGACGGUGGUGACACAGAAGCCUCCUGUUGUGGUGCUGAGGACAGGAGAGACAGCCACCAUGGACUGUAACCUGGGAACUGUUACUGAUAGUGGAGUUCGCUGGUAUAAACAGAUUCCAGGAGGAGUUCUUCAGUUUGUAUUAUAUUUUUAUCACCGCCGGAGCUCUCCAAGCUAUGGUUCUGGUUUCUUGUCUCCAAAGUUCACAUCUACUCAUCAGUCACAAUCAGAUUAUCGUUUGAUCAUCAACAAUGUGGAGGAGGGAGACUCAGCAGUCUAUUACAGUAACACACUGGACAACUCUGUUAUUGAGUAUGUAUCACAAUGUGAGCUGGUUGGCUGGUGGGAGUCCAGUGAGCAGCGGGAUCUCUACCAGCAAGCAGACCACACUUUCCAAAUCAGCAGCUAUCUGGCCAUCCAGAUGUCAGACUGGAACAUGGAUGAGGUCUACACAUGUAAAGUGUCUUUGGGCUCCCAGACUUCAGAGGAAAACAUCCACAAGUCAGACUGUCCCACUAAAGAAUAG